rnacentral:rRNA from 1 species
GACGGAGGGAGCUAGCGUUGUUCGGAAUUACUGGGCGUAAAGCGCGCGUAGGUUGUUAUGUAAGUCAGACGUGAAAGCCCUAAGCUCAACUUGGGAAUUGCGUUUGAAACUGCAUGACUAGAGACCGGUAGAGGGAAGUUGAAUUCCGAGUGUAGAGGUGAAAUUCGUAGAUAUUCGGAGGAAUACCAGAGGCGAAGGCGUCUUCCUGGGCCGGAUCUGACACUGAGGCGCGAAAGCGUGGGUAGCGAACAGG